rnacentral:rRNA from 1 species
AAAACUUUUCAACAUAGCGGAGGAAAGAAACCAACAGGGAUUGCCUUAGUAACGGCGAGUGAAGCGGCAAAAGCUCAGAUUUGAAAUCUGGUGCCAUUUUGGUACCCGAGUUGUAAUCUGUAGAGGAGUAUUCGAGUGUAGCUUUGGCUUAAGUUUCUUGGAACAGGACGUCAUAGAGGGUGAGAACCCCGUUCACGGCCUUUGACUUAUGCUCAUGUGAAUCUUCUUCAACGAGUCGAGUUGUUUGGGAAUGCAGCUCUAAAUUGGUGGUAAAUUCCAUCUAAAGCUAAAUACAGGCAAGAGACCGAUAGCGCACAAGUAGAGUGAUCGAAAGAUGAAAAGAACUCUGAACAGAGAGUCAAAUAGUACGUGAAAUUGUUGAAAGGGAAGCACUUGUUACCAGACAUGCCUUCAGUCAAUCAGCCUUCAUUUUUGAUGGUGCACUUGGCUGUCGGUGGGUCAGCAUCAGUUACAGCAGUGGGAUAAAGGCUGUGGGAAUGUGACUUCCUUUGGGGAGUGUUAUAGCCCGUAGUGUAAUACCAAUCGUUGUGACUGAGGCCUGCGCUUCGGUGAGGAUGCUGGCAUAAUGGUCAUAAGUGACCCGUCUUGAAACACGGACCAAGGAGUCUAACAUCUAUGCGAGUGUUUGGGUGUUAAAACCCUUACGCGGAAUGAAAGUAAAUGGAGGUGGGAACCGCAAGGUGCACCAUCGACCGAUCCUGAUGUCUUCGGAUGGAUUUGAGUAGGAGCAUAGCUGUUGGGACCCGAAAGAUGGUGAACUAUGCCUGAAUAGGGUGAAGCCAGAGGAAACUCUGGUGGAGGCUCGCAGCGGUUCUGACGUGCAAAUCGAUCGUCAAAUUUGGGUAUAGGGGCGAAAGACUAAU